ensembl:lncRNA
AUUUAAAAUGUAAAUCCUAGUCAUCUGCAAAAUAUUUCUCAAUCUCAGAGCCUCAUGAACCAUGGGAGGGACACGGGAAGGAGAAAACAAACUGCUACCCUUUUGAAAACAAGAGUUUCAUCUGAGCAUGGGAGAUGAGCUGUAACUUCUCAUCUUGGAAGAAGAUGGAAAACCUUCUGCACUAAUAGGCAGCUAGGAUCUGGCAUUCCAUUCCGUUUCAGCCAAGCACUCUCACACCAGUCCUCUUGGUGUGAAUAAUGCCUCAUUUUAGUCUCUCCAUGGCUCUCUUGUUCCCUGCAUAGAAUACUUGGACAUGGAACAGCAAGCAGGGAUGAGCCCACAUUUCCACGAGGUGAGAGCUUCAGUGUCACUGCUGUGUGCAGGAGGGGACUAUGGGAUGGAGCUGGAGAAGAAGCACAGCGUCACUGCAUAGCAUCCAGUGACCUGAGUGGGGACAGGCAAGCACAUCCUCGCCCCUUUCCCCUGCCUUUCGUGUGCUCUCCCUUCCUCUCACUUUCCUCUCUGUUCCAUGUGCUGAAUGAUCCCCUGUCUCUCCCUUCUAGUGGAACAGCAGAGCAGUGUGUGAACUGUGAGCCCCAGAAACAGGAAACAAUAGAGAAGAACCCGGUGUGAUGUCCAGUGUGCUAGACAAAUUGCUGGAACAAGAGCGACAAGAUCAGGGUCCCAUCGUUGGGAUACUUUAGGCAAGUGAUGGACACAGAGGGAUUGUUCCAGUUAAGUGAAAAUCCAGAAAGCUGGCUGAUCCCAUGAGGUCAAGCUCCCAAUCUCCAUCCUCCCUCCGCUGUGUGGAGCCCCCUGGUCUGAGACUCAGAGCUGCCAUCCUGGAUCUCACCACCAGAAGCCUGAAACUUUUCCAAAGGGAUAGUAUAAGGACAUCGGUCUUAAUGCCUACUAGUUGGAUGGAUGGAUGGAUGGAUGGAUGGAUGGAUGGAUGGAUGGACGCAGGAAGUGUCAAACAUGUGCUGCUCUUCACGACAGUGGCCCAGCUCAUAUCAGGUGCCUCAAGGAGUCAGGUUGUGAGGUUCUGUGUCCUGAUGGCUGCUGAAGCUUCCAUUCCAGACUCAAGGGCAGCAGUCCUCAGGAGACCCCAAAACUUCACAUCCCUGGUGGGAUAUGAACCCUGGAUCAAGUGGGUUCAUUGAUAUGAAGAAUAUCAUGUAGUAUAACAGCUCCGGUAAGGCUCACAAACUAGGCUGAAUGUAGAGAAGCCACUUUGAUCUCAUGAUGGGAGAAGAGGUUUAGCAGGUGGAAUUUCAUUUGGUCAGCAGCUACAAGCUUAGUGUAAUAGCCCUUGAGCCCCAUCUUAGAGAAAUCUGCCAUUGUCUGAAAGCAGUGAAUGGUUCCAACUUGACGAACACUUGUUCUUUAACAUGCACUUGCAAUAAAUACACAUAUAUUUUUUCUUGCUGUAGAAAUGAUUAAUCCUACGUUCUCUCUGAGAAUGUGAAAAUAUGCAUUAGUUUGAAGGGUUCCUAGCAAUUUGAGAUUCUAACAUGUCUUCUUUCCUGGUAACCGUGGUUUUAUCUGUUUGGUAAAGAGAAUUUUUUAGGAGCCUAAAAUUUUUCAAGUGUUAGUUUAAAAUGUCAGUUAAAAGGAUUUGGAAUUUUAUAAAAUAAUAAUGACCUGUGGGUCUUUGCCCUAUUAUCGUGAUACCAAGUAAUAUCGCUUAUAAUAAUCGGAAAUUCUUAAACAUCAUUAUGAUUAUAUUCCCAGGACAUCACAUUUAGAUUUAUAGUUGCCAACCACACCAUGCCCCGUCCCCGAGCGACCACCAAUCUUUUGUCAGUAGAUUAGUUUUGAUUUCCUAUAAUUUUAUGUCCGUGGAAUCAUACAGGUUGCAUUUUAUUCUCAUCUGGCUUGUUAUGUUCAGCCAUUUAUUUGUUUAUCAAUUUAAAUUAUCUUUUAUUUGACAAAAAUAUAUGAAACAUUUAUGAACGUUUGGGAAAUACUUUCUUGAAUAUUUAAUACCUAAUAUAUAUUAAAGAAGACUUCUGUUUAGGAAUCAUGUAGAUUACCAUUUCUUUUGUGAAUCACCAAAUUAUCCAAUUCGUAUACACUGAAGUAGAAAAACAUACGGGAUUCUCUUCAGAUUUAAGAUUAUAGUAAAUAUUUAAUAUGUGACUAUAACAAGGUGGAGUUAUGAAACUGUCCCCAAGAAGGGAAAAUAGAAAUAUUAGCCUUUCUUUCUUUUAUAAAGGAAAAUGUUGUGCUUUGAUGAUGAUAAAAACCAAACCAUAGGAAUUGCUUGUUUUGUUUCCUACAUACAUAUUUAACUGAAGAAUAGUCAAGUAAUUAAGAAAAUAAUAAUCAUAUAUUUUUAAUUUCAGAAAUUUAUUUUAUACACAUUCCAUGUAACGUAUGUCUUUAGAUAUACUUUCUUGCAUCUAUAUGGGCUGACAAAUAUGUAAAUUUUACGCUACAUACAUCUAUUCAUUGAAAAGAAUUUGUUCAAACAUAUUUUAUACAUGUUAGCAAUAAUCUUUAUCGUCAUUUCAAUAACCUCUGUCUUAUCUGUUUUUUUUUUUAUUUCUUUUAAAAGAUUACCAGUAUGGAAUAAAAUAAAGAUUACAAGUAUGAAAUAAAAUAGUGUGUAAUUAUAAUGUUCCAAUUUCUGAUAUGGUUAAAUAUAUCGACUGAACACAUUUUCUAAUAUGCC